UACGUAGGGGGCAAGCGUUGUCCGGAAUCAUUGGGCGUAAAGAGCGUGUAGGCGGCCUGGUAAGUCCGCUGUGAAAGUCCAGGGCUCAACCCUGGAAUGCCGGUGGAAACUGUCAGGCUCGAGUCCGGAAGAGGCGAGUGGAAUCCUGGUGUAGCGGUGAAAUGCGCAGAUAUCAGGAGGAACACCAAUGGCGAAGGCAGCUCGCUGGGACGGUACUGACGCUGAGACGCGAAAGCGUGGGGAGCAAACAGG
rnacentral:rRNA from 1 species